AGCAAGACUGUCUCAAAAAAAAAAAAAAAAAAAGAGGGGUAUCUUAUUACUUGCACAUAAAUGUUAAAGUCACAGAAAGAGUGAUUUCAUUGGGAGAAGAUGUGGAAAACUUCGUAAGUGAAUUCGGAAUUUAAUUUUAAAGGACUUGGAUGAGAUAAAAUUUGGUAGAAAGAGGUGGGUGAUCAAUACAGGAAUGAGUAUUUAUAUUUCCAAGCUUAUAACUGCAAUCUGGUAGUCCAAGGCAUGUUCUUAUGUAUUUUUAAAAUCUUCUAAAAAUGCUGUUUUCUGUUGCUGGUUUCAGGUGAAUUAUAAAGAGUCGCAUAGAAGAAAAAGAAGUGGACACCCACAUAGAUACCACAAAAUUCCUGUGUGAAGACUGAGAUAAGGGCAUCAGGAGGUGAGAGAAUAAUUCUGAAGAUAACUCAAAGGCUGAGCCUAAGGAAACUUGGAGUUAGUUCUUGCUCUGUCACCCUGGCUGGAGCGAAAAGGCACAAUCUUAGUUCCCUGCAGCAUUGAACUCCUAGGCUCAAGGGAUCCUCCCACCUCAGCAUCCCAAGUAGCUGGGACUACAGGUGUGUGCCCCCA